CAUGUAGGCGGCUCUGUAAGUCCGGCGUGGAAGCCCACGGCUCAACCGUGGGAUUGCGCUGGAAACUGUGGGGCUUGAAUCAUGGAGAGGGAGCUAGAAUUCCUGGUGUAGGGGUGAAAUCUGUAGAGAUCAGGAAGAAUACCAGUGGCGAAGGCGAGCUCCUGGCCAAUGAUUGACGCUGAGGUGCGAAAGUGUGGGGAUCAAACAGGAUUAGAUACCCUGGUAGUCCACACUGUAAACGAUGUGCACUAGGUGCGUGGGGCGGAUGCUUCAGUGCCGGAGCUAACGCGGUAAGUGCACCGCCUGGGGAGUAUGCUCACAAGGGUGAA
rnacentral:rRNA from 1 species